GAUGAACGCUGGCGGCGUGCCUAAUACAUGCAAGUCGAGCGAACAGACGAGGAGCUUGCUCCUCUGACGUUAGCGGCGGACGGGUGAGUAACACGUGGAUAACCUACCUAUAAGACUGGGAUAACUUCGGGAAACCGGAGCUAAUACCGGAUAAUAUAUUGAACCGCAUGGUUCAAUAGUGAAAGACGGUUUUGCUGUCACUUAUAGAUGGAUCCGCGCCGCAUUAGCUAGUUGGUAAGGUAACGGCUUACCAAGGCAACGAUGCGUAGCCGACCUGAGAGGGUGCUCGGCCACACUGGAACUGAGACACGGUCCAGACUCCUACGGGAGGCAGCAGUAGGGAAUCUUCCGCAAAGGGCGAAAGCUUGACGGAGCAACGCCGCGUGAGUGAUGAAGGUCUUCGGAUCGUAAAACUCUGUUAUUAGGGAAGAACAAAUGUGUAAGUAACUAUGCACGUCUUGACGGUACCUAAUCAGAAAGCCACGGCUAACUACGUG
rnacentral:rRNA from 1 species